GAAGGCAAGAAGGUUCUGGAUGGCUCGUAGGAAAACACCCUUAAGCCCUUCUUACUCUAGGGUGAAAAGCCACUGCCCCAGCCUGGACUCCUACCCGGCCUUUUGAACAAUGCCUACCUUAAUGCUUCCAGUUCUUGUCACCUCCAAUAAUCAAAAGAGAAGGCUUUGGCCAAGCCACCUUCCACCCCAGGUUGGCCAUUGACUGCCAUGGUCGUGAGUGUUAUGGGUACCAUGGGCCACCAGGACCAAGAGUGUUCAAAGUCGCUUCUGUUAUCCUCUGCUUAGGUCAAGCAAAGGAACUCUUCUACUUCCAGCUGGCUUUGUUUAAGUGAUCAUGGGAUAAAAUUUCAUCACAAUCACCAGUGAACGUGACGAAAGACUGCUUCAUCUAUCAACUCCAGGGCUGGUGUUCAGAAGUCCC
rnacentral:lncRNA from 1 species